ensembl:lncRNA
AUCAGUUUUCUCAAAACAACCACUGGGUUGCUCUCAGGAAGUACUGUAUGAAUAUUAAUAUGGAUGCAAAUGCUCAGUGAGGAUGCCCAGCGCUUGAACCAGCACAGCGCGCUGACAUCUGCGCAUUUUUUGUUUUGACGUUUUUUUUUCUUCUUCUUUCUGUUCAUCCCCGCAUUUGUGAGCGUGUUUCUUUUGCGGAUGAUUUUGAAAGAAACACAGACACAAGGAUGAUGUCGGCUGGGGAGCAUUUUAACGUCGCAUUGAAUUGCAUAUUGGUUUUCAAUAAGAUCUCGCACCGGCCAGUCUACAGCGAUCCUCGGUAGUACAGUGCGCCGUUUAUCCCCCUAAAAAUGGAAGACCUUUCACGUCAAGAAAAGGCGUCAGUCCGGUGAUCGGCGUCUGAAUAUCUAAUUUUUUAUUUCCACGUCAAUUGACACAUCUGGGAAAGGAUUCAUUUCCCUUCCCUUCUGUUUACCAAGACAGCUGUGUCAUCAACAACCGGCGUGGUUUUGUUGUUGUCUGAUUUUUUUACGAGUCUGGGCAACUGGUUUAGGCGAUCGGCACAGUCUACCUCUGCGCCAGCCGUAGACUCUACAGCUAUCAAGGCUUUGCUGUCCAGCUCAGGUGCUGAGAUACCAUACAGAUGUGGGCUGGAAUGGCUUUGGUAUUCAGGAGAAACCAAACAAAGUGAAGGAUAUGUAUAGUGCACUGUUUCCUAAAUAUCUGAUAAAUCCUGCUGUCUCACUCACAGCGAGGUAAAACAACACUGCUGGAC